AGUCACUGACAUUAGAUACCCCUGUAGUCCAGGGUGUAAACGCUGCAGACUUAGGUGUUGGGAACCCUUCGGGGGUGCUCAGUGCCGGAGAGAAGUUGUUAAGUCUGCUACUUGGGGAGUACGUCCGCAAGGAUGAAACUUAAAGGAAUUGGCGGGGGAGCACCGCAACGGGAGGAGCGUGCGGUUUAAUUGGAUUCAACGCCGAAAAACUCACCAGCAGCGACUGUUACAUGAAAGUCAGGUUGAUGACCUUACUAGAUUUUCAG
rnacentral:rRNA from 1 species